rnacentral:rRNA from 1 species
GUUUGAUCCUGGCUCAGGAUGAACGCUAGCGGCAGGCUUAACACAUGCAAGUCGAGGGGCAGCGGGGUGUAGCAAUACACUGCCGGCGACCGGCGCACGGGUGCGUAACGCGUAUGCAACCUACCCAUAACAGGGGCAUAACACUGAGAAAUUGGUACUAAUUCCCCAUAACAUUCGAAGAGGCAUCUCUUUGGGUUGAAAACUCCGGUGGUUAUGGAUGGGCAUGCGUUGUAUUAGCUAGUUGGUGGGGUAACGGCUCACCAAGGCGACGAUACAUAGGGGGACUGAGAGGUUAACCCCCCACACUGGUACUGAGACACGGACCAGACUCCUACGGGAGGCAGCAGUGAGGAAUAUUGGUCAAUGGACGUAAGUCUGAACCAGCCAAGUCGCGUGAGGGAAGACUGCCCUAUGGGUUGUAAACCUCUUUUAUAAGGGAAGAAUAAGUUCUACGUGUAGAAUGAUGCCUGUACCUUAUGAAUAAGCAUCGGCUAACUCCGUGCCAGCAGCCGCGGUAAUACGGAGGAUGCGAGCGUUAUCCGGAUUUAUUGGGUUUAAAUGGUGCGCAGGCGGCGCGCCAAGUCAGCGGUCAAAGUUCCGGGCUCAACCCGGUGUCGCCGUUGAAACUGGCGUGCUCGAGUGCGUGCGAGGAAGGCGGAAUGCGUUGUGUAGCGGUGAAAUGCAUAGAUAUCACGCAGAACUCCGAUUGCGAAGGCAGCUUACUAAACCAUAACUGACACUGAAGCACGAAAGCGUGGGGAUCAAACAGGAUUAGAUACCCUGGUAGUCCACGCAGUAAACGAUGAUUACUAGGAGUUUGCGAUACAAUGUAAGCUCUACAGCGAAA